UAUACGACCGUACCGCAAACCGACACUGGUGCGCGAGAUGAGUAUUCUAAGGCGCUUGAGAGAACUCAGGAGAAGGAACUCGGCAAAUUGACACCGUAACUUCGGAAGAAGGUGUGCCCUAUUAGUGUGUAGUGAACAACGAAGCAUGAAUGGGUUGCAAAAAAUCGGUGGCUGCGACUGUUUAUUAAAAACACAGCACUCUGCAAACACGAAAGUGGACGUAUAGGGUGUGACGCCUGCCCGGUGCUGGAAGAUUAAAUGAUGGGGUGCAAGCUCUUGAUUGAAGUCCCAGUAAACGGCGGCCGUAACAAUAACGGUCCUAAGGUAGCGAAAUUCCUUGUCGGGUAAGUUCCGACCUGCACGAAUGGCGUAACGAUGGCCACACUGUCUCCUCCUGAGACUCAGCGAAGUUGAAAUGUUUGUGAUGAUGCAAUCUCCCCGCGGAAAGACGGAAAGACCCCAUGAACCUUUACUGUAGCUUUGUAUUGGACUUUGAACAGAUCUGUGUAGGAUAGGUGGGAGGCUUUGAAGCAGGGUCGCUAGAUCUUGUGGAGCCAACGUUGAAAUACCACCCUGGUGUGUUUGAGGUUCUAACCUAGGUCCAUUAUCUGGAUCGGGGACAGUGCAUGGUAGGCAGUUUGACUGGGGCGGUCUCCUCCCAAAGCGUAACGGAGGAGUUCGAAGGUACGCUAGUUACGGUCGGACAUCGUGACGAUAGUGCAAUGGCAUAAGCGUGCUUAACUGCGAGACUGACAAGUCGAGCAGAUGCGAAAGCAGGACAUAGUGAUCCGGUGGUUCUGUAUGGAAGGGCCAUCGCUCAACGGAUAAAAGGUACUCUGGAUAACAGGCUGAUACCGCCCAAGAGUUCAUAUCGACGGCGGUGUUUGGCACCUCGAUGUCGGCUCAUCUCAUCCUGGGGCUGUAGCCGGUCCCAAGGGUAUGGCUGUUCGCCAUUUAAAGAGGUACGUGAGCUGGGUUUAAAACGUCGUGAGACAGUUUGGUCCCUAUCUUCCGUGGGCGCUGCAGAUUUGAGGAAGCCUGCUCCUAGUACGAGAGGACCGGAGUGGACACACCUCUGGUGUAUCGGUUGUCACGCCAGUGGCAUUGCCGAGUAGCUAAGUGUGGAAGAGAUAACCGCUGAAAGCAUCUAAGCGGGAAACUCGUUUCAAGAUGAGAUCUGCCGGGGCCUUGAGCCCCCUAAAGAGUCGUUCAAGACCAGGACGUUGAUAGGUCAGGUGUGGAAGCGAAG
rnacentral:rRNA from 1 species